GGGGCUGUGGUGUAACUGGCAGCAUGACGGACUUCGGGCACCGACGCGCAGCGUUGGUCGUCGUGUAGGUGAGGGUUCAACUCCCUUCGGCCCCA
rnacentral:tRNA from 2 species